AAAACUCACAGUGAUCCUCCUGCUUCAGCCUCACAAGUGCUGGGAUUACGGACAUGUGCCACCAAGACUGGAUCUACCUUUAAUUAGAGCAAGUGUGCAUCUUUUGGUCUUUUCAAGGUCCAUCAAGCAUGCUGCUGGAAUUUCAAUCG